rnacentral:rRNA from 1 species
UUCAUAUGCCUUGGUCUAAAACAAGAUUUAAGCCAUGCAUGUGUAGUAUGAACUAAUUCAGACUGUGAAACUGCGAAAUGGCUCUAAUAUCAGUUAUAGGGUUUGUUUUGAUCGUAUCUCUACUCGGAUACACCGUAGUAAUUCUAGAUCUAAUACGUUGCAACAAAACCCCGACUUCUGGAAGGAUGCAUUUAGAUAAAAGCGUCGGAACAGCGGGCUCGCCCGUUGCUCUGAUGCAUUUUCAUUGAUAAACUCGACGGAUCGCCACGCCAUCGUGCCUUCCGCGCGACGCAUCGACUUUCAAAUUUACUGCUCCUAUUCAACUUGCGGAUGGUAGGAAUACGAGGACCUACAUCGUGGCUGGGAUGACGGGUGACAGGAGAAUUAGGGUUCGAUUUCCGGAGAGGGGAAGCCUGAGAAACGGCUACCACAUCCAAGGAAGAGCAGCAGUGGCGGCAAAUUACCCAAUCCUGACACUGGGGGAGGUAGUGACAAUAAAUAACCAAUACGGUGCCUUCUUCGAGAUUCUGUUUAAUUUUUGGAAUGAGUACAAUCUAAAUCCCUUAACGAGGAUCCAUUGGAGGGGCAAGUCUGGGGUGCCAGGCGAGCCGCCGUAAUUUCCAGCUCGAAUAUGUAUAUUUAAGUUGUUGCAGUUUAAAAAGCUCGUCAGUUGGACCUUGGGUUGGGUCGAGCCGGGUCCGUCCUCGCGGCGUGUUUGCCACCUGUCGGCUCGUUCCCUUCUGCCGGCGGAUGCCCGACUCCUUGGCCCCCUUAACCUAGGCCGGUUCGUGCCUUCCGCCGCAGCUGUACUUGGAAAGAAAAUUAGAAGUGCUCAAAGCAAGCCUACGCUCUGGAUACCUUUAGCAUGGUGAUAUACAUCAUAGGAUUCGGUCCUAUUCGUGUUGGGCCUCUCGGGAUCGUAAUGGAUUAACAGGGACAGUCGGGGGCAUUCGUAUUCAUAGUCAGCAGGCUGGAAUUCUUGGAUUUAUGAAAGACGAAUCAACUGCGAAAGCAUCCAAGGAUGUUUUCAAUUAACUCAAGAACGUGAAGUGCGGCUCGGAAGACGAUCAGAAUACCGUCCUAGGUCUUCAAACCAAUAAACGAUGGCCGGACCAGGAUUCGCGCGGAUGUUUGCUUUUUAGGCGACUCCGCCGCGCACCUUAUGAGAAAUCAAAGUCUUUGGGUUCGGGGGGAGUAUGGUUCGCAAGGCUGAAAACUUAAAGAAUUGACGCGAAGGGCACCACCAGGAGUGGAGCCUGCGGCUUAAUUUGACUCAACACGGAGAACGCGUGCUUUACCCGGUCCAGACAUAGUAAGGAUUGACAGACUCGAACGAGCUCUUUUCUUGAUUCUAUGGUGGUGAUAAGUGCAGCGUUCUAGUUGCUGAGCGAUUUGUCUGGUUAAUUCCUCGUUUAUACGAACGAGACCUCAGCCUUGCUAAACUUAGCUAUGCGGAGGUGACACUCGCGCUCCUUUAGAGGGCUAUGGCGCUUUUAGGCCAAGGAAGUGUCUUGAACGCCAAUAACAGGUCUGUGAUGGCCCUUAAAGAUGAUCUCCUGGGCCGCAACGCUGCGCUACACUGCAAUGUUAUUCAUACGAGUCUUAUAGCCCCUUGGCCGAACAGUGCCCGUGGUAAUCUUUGAAAUUUCAUCGUGAUGGGGAUAGACUCAUGUGCAAUUGUUGGUCUAAUUCAACGAGGAAUUCCUAGUCAAGCGCGAGUCAUCAGCCUCGCGUUGACUUAGUCCCUGCCUCUUUGUACACACCGGCCGCGUUCGCUGCCUACCGAUUGACAAUGGUUCGAAGUUGAUAGGUUCGGAUCGCUGAGGCGACGUGGGCCAGGGUUUCGCCAGCCGGCGGACGUCGCAGAGAAGUCCAUCUGAACCUCGUCACUCAUUUAGAGGAAGGAGAAGUCGUAACAAGGUUCCCGUAGGUGAUAAGCCUUGCG